ensembl:lncRNA
UGGUCUUUUUCCACAUCCUUAGUUGUUUGAGUUGAAUACUUUGUGGAGAGGAUGCAGUAAUUGCAAUGAAACAGUUAUUAAAUGGACACAGUUAAAAUCUACCUCAUCUCCUCUGGUAACUGGUGAUACAGACCAGAAAACGUUUCAUGUCUGUUUGUGGUAUGCUGAUUGCUAUUUGUGCUUGCAAAGAGGGUAAUGAUUAAACUGGUUCUGGAGACUGAAAUACCUCUUAUGCAAAGAGAUUGUUUCACAGAUCAGGGCACUUUUGUCAUCUUGAUAGUAUUGUGUAUCUGAAAGUUAGAAACCUUGGGAUUUUAAGAUGAAAUUUCUGCUUCUGCUUAUUUUUCUAUAAGCGCUUAAAUCUAAAAAUCAUAUAUAAAAAAAAAACAACCAACAGUGUAAAAGCUACUGCUGCUUAAUAUGCCUUUUAGACAGUGAUUUUUUUUUUUAAUCCUGUACAUGUUUUAGCACGUUAUUUUUCAAUGUUUGUUAAAGAUACUCAGCAGAAUAAUUUUAGGAAAAGUUUUGAAAUUGCCUGCUUGUGGUACCUAGUCUGUUGUCUAGGUAUGGAACAGCAUAUACAGGUUUAACUUGCUUAGUGAAAGUUCUUUUUUAAGUAUUUAGUUUGUGAAGCCUCUUUAGCAACCAAGUACACAUGUUCAUGAAGAAUAAAAUACUGAUAAAGGGAAUAUUGUGUUCUGAUUGACCUGCAACUGUAUUUUCAGCUACUACUGUAAGAUAUGAGUGUAGAAUUCAUAAGUACCCUGGUGGGGUGGAUUUUGCUGCAGGAGGUGUCUUGGGAGGAACGAGAGAUAAAGUCAGAUGGAGAGACCAAAGAAAAAAAGUCGCUCAAGGCAAGAGGACCCAGAGCAAGCUAGACUGAAACAAAAAGCAAAGGAGGUGAUACAGAGCUGGAUGGAAGACAUCUAAAGAGCAUGAAGCUACACUUGUCAACUCUAUAAACUACUCUCAUUUAGUCUCAGGUAAAAUCUUAUUUUAGGAUGGAGAAGUCUGGCUUGUACUAGAGAUUGUACUCCUCAGAGCUGGGUAAUUUGAGGUCAUGAGAAACUCUCCGGCAGUAAUUAAUCCCAGUUUUGUCAAGGUUUAAUCUCUGUACAGAGAUAAAAUAUACUUCGCUGUUGAGUUAAACCUUUGUGUGUGUUGUGUGCAGUCACACAACUGAUCAGUACGAGAUGGGCUUUCAGUAGUAUGUGAUAGUGCUCUGCUCAUUCUUUUUAAUGUUUUGGGUAUAGACAAAUUAAAAUAUCUUGUAAAUAGUAGUAUUAUCUAAAAUGUACGUUUCUUAAAUUUGUCAUCCAUUAAUUUAUGACUCCAGAAUUAUUACAGUUUAUGAUGUGUUUUGUGAUCUGCCCAGCUGUAAAUAAAUAAAUGUACAUCUCACAGAUAUUCCCUGGUAAUUUUAACUGAGGCAUUAAAAAUAAUUCCUGAGUAAAAAAAAAAAUAAUAAUCUUAUCUAUCCAUCUGUCUGUAUGGAGAGAUUGUCUCUUGUUAGUAUUGAAGUUUGAAACACAAAAUCUCUGAAUGUGGUGUUCCAGCGAAGAAGGAAAUGUCUGGCUUAGCAUGCUAGACGUCAUUUGGAAAUGUGAAGAUGGUGUGAUAGAUUAUAUGCUAAAUGAUAGAAUAACCUGCUCUUUUGUCUAAGGGAUUAUUAUAUUUAUCCUGCUUGCAUUUUAGUGAAUUUCCAUCACUUUUAAAAUGUCUGUUCCUAACAUUUAAAAUAUUGGAAAUUGAAUUCUUCUUUGCCACUUUGCUACAACACUGGAAUAGUAAAUCUAUUGACAUCAGUGGCACUAUUCAAAACAAACAGAAUUUACCUCUCUGAUAUUAAAUAUAAUCUCAUAUCAAAGCAUCCCCUGUGAACAACUGUGAUUUGUUGUUGCUGGCUGCAUUCAAAACUUUUACUUAGAAGCAAAAUAUUUUUGUAAUUACCUAUGUAUAAAAGAAUCUGUCUAUAUAGAGCUCUUUGUUGAUAAAUCAACUAAAAAUUUAUUAUUUUUGAAUUCUGGUAUUGCAUAUUUUACAUAAAUUUCUAAACCCUUUACUUUGAUUUUUUUUGAAGAUACAAAGAGGAAUGUAAAGCUUUUUAAUACACCAAAUCUUUUUUCACAUUUAAUUACCAAUGUCUUUGAUAAUAAAUUGUGUUUCAGAGUUUGUGAUGUAUUUUAUGGAGCAGAGUCCUUUGGCGGGUUGCUUACUGAAACAAUAAGCAUUUGUGACAGGUUGUUUGCUGAAUACUUCCUCUGUGCAUAUGGCAGAUCAUAGUUCACUUGUUAGCAGAUUAUCCAUUGUGCCUUGAUGUUAAAAGAGAAUACCUCUCAGCCUAUGUUUAAAGCUGUUCUGCACUGU